rnacentral:rRNA from 1 species
AGUGAACGCUGGCGGUAGGCCUAACACAUGCAAGUCGAACGGCAACACAGUAAGAGCUUGCUCUUACGGGUGGCGAGUGGCGGACGGGUGAGGAAUACAUCGGAAUCUACUUUUUCGUGGGGGAUAACGUAGGGAAACUUGCGCUAAUACCGCAUACGACCUACGGGUGAAAGCAGGGGAUCUUCGGACCUUGCGCGAUUGAAUGAGCCGAUGUCGGAUUAGCUAGUUGGCGGGGUAAGGGCCCACCAUGGCAACGAUGCGUAGCUGGUCAGAGAGGAUGAUCAGCAACACUGGAACGGGACCGCGGUCCGGCCCCGAACGGAAGGCGACGCUGGGGAGUGUUGUACAGUGGACUGAGCCCUAUCCUGACGCAACGACGUGGGGUAGGAGGUCCUUGCGUUUGUAAAGCCCUUUUGUUGGGAACGAAAGGCAGCAGGUUAGUUCCCCGGGGUUUUACGGUAACCCAAGAAGAAGCACCGGCUAACUUCGUG